CCCUUAGAUGUUCUGGGCCGCACGCGUGCUACACUGAGUAAUUCAAUGGGUAAGGGAACGCUAGAGCAUUACCUAAUCUUGAAAUUUGCCCGUGAUGGGGAUCGACGGUUGCAAUUUUCCGUCGUGAACGAGGAAUACCUUGUAGGCGCAUGUCAUCAUCAUGCGCCGAAUACGUCCCUGCCCUUUGUACACACCGCCCGUCGCUCCUACCGAUUGAGUGAUCCGGUGAGGCUCUGGGACCUGGACGGAAAGAGCGUUUCGCUUGUUCUGUUUGGGAAACUUGGUCGAACCUUAUCAUUUAGAGGAAGGAGAAGUCGUAACA
rnacentral:rRNA from 1 species